rnacentral:rRNA from 1 species
AUUGAACGCUGGCGGCAGGCCUAACACAUGCAAGUCGAACGAGUGGCGGACGGGUGAGUAAUGUCUGGGAAACUGCCUGAUGGAGGGGGAUAACUACUGGAAACGGUAGCUAAUACCGCAUACCAUCGGAUGUGCCCAGAUGGGAUUAGCUAGUAGGUGGGGUAAAGGCUCACCUGGGCGACGAUCCCUAGCUGGUCUGAGAGGAUGACCAGCCACACGGGAACGGAGACACGGUCCAGACGCCUACGUGAGGCAGGAGUGGGGAAUAGUGCACAAGGGGCGCAAGCCUGAUGCAGCCAUGCCGCGUGGAUGAAGAAGGCCUUCGGGUUGUAAAGGACUUUCAGCGGUGAGGCGUUACCCGCAGAAGAAGCACCGGCUAACUCCGUGCCAGCCGCCGCGGUAAUUC